GACGUCCACUAACAUUCAUGAGUGUGCACAGACCCUUUCCUUACCUCAGUGAUUCCUCAUCCUCUUUCAGAUUGUCCUCGAGCUGUAUGAAUGCCUGAAUCUUGAAAAUAAAUGUGAAUUCAAAUUACUAUUAGAGAGAAAUUAAACCUAGCUUAAUGUUUAAAAUUCAUAUGUCUCUAAAAAGUAGCAAAUAGAGAAAAACAACC